AGAGUGGUUCCUCUGCUAUAUAAAGGAUGAAAGCAUGCCCAAUUCGGACUUUAGGGUUUCUGGCGAUAGUCAUCUAGGUAAGUUGUAUAGCGGCGGGAGCUGAGCGCUAUACAGCGUGGACGAACUUCGAAAGCGGCGGCAGCGGUUGUAAUGUGGGAUUGGUGCAAACUGGCCGAGAUAAGGCUGAUCUUCUCUAACUUUCGGCUAAGAAACUUCUCUUCACCUUCUUUUUUCAGAUCUCAACUAAAAACUCUUUGCGAGGCGAUCGCUCAUUGACUUGGUACGAUGGAUGUGAAGCUCUCAAGUGAGUUUUAUAAGGAUGAAGGAGAGAUUCAUUGGUCAUACAAUUUGGCAACAUCUCGUCCCAACAAUCACUUUUUGUGCUAGAGAUGAAGGAUCUGUCAGUUGUGUCACUAAAUAGCAUCUCGUCCCAUCUCUUUUUUAACACUAGAGGAUGAAGGAGCUAUAUAAUGAUGAUAGUAAAGGUAUAAAAUAUGAUUAGUUAAGGUGCUAAGUGGUGGCUUGUGCUAAUUAAUCUAUGUUUUAGGACAGUAAAACUCAUUUGUAGGACUUUAAAGACAUUGGAUGUUUUUUAUAUCCACUCGUAAAGGAUGGGAGAGGGACCCACUAGUUGUAUCACUAAUCAUACUGCUUGACAAUAUCUCGUCUGACCCAUUCCUGUUGGAACUAGCGGACGUGGAAGCUUUGUAAUGAUGAUAGAAAUUUAUAUUUGUAUUUAAGGGAAUUGGACUUGCUCAUCCAACUGCUAUUGAUAUUUUCAACAUUUUUAUUUGCUCUCAGAGCAAUUAUUCGCAUCCUUGAAGAUGUUAGAGAACGUUUGAUUGAUGCUACAAUAUGGUGUGCUUUGUAUAUCUAAGGAUUACACGCUAAUGUGCGUAGGAGAUAAUAACAAAAUGAUUCAAGUUCCCAUUACCACCAAGCCUGUUGAUUGAAAACUGUACAUCUUGCAUCACUUGAAACUUGAUUGAAGUAGAAAUGAGGUACAACUAAUUGUUAUUUUCCGUUGCGAUUUAUGACUACGCAUAUUACAGAUUAUGGUACAUGUGAUGCUAUUUUGUCGAAUUCAUAUUGAAACCCUCAAGUUUUGCAAGCUGGAAGAACAAUGAGAAUGCUGUUGACAUAGGUAGAAGGGAUAUAACAUACGAAGUUUUUUUGUGUGACAUGUUUAAAUUUAAGUGAUUUCUUCCUUGCUAUGAUAAGAGAAAAUUGAUACUUUUAGCCAAGUUAUAUAUAAGUGAUUUUUUUUUACAAUUGAGCUUGUGGCUAUUAAAAUUUAAUUAUCAACUUAUAUUAUUGAUAUGCAUAUCAUUGAUGAGUUUUUUUUUCUCUAAGCAAUAUUGUUGAUUUUGUAAAGCAAAUCGUUAAGGUCAAGAAAGAUGGUGUGUGUAUCAUUUAGUUUAUAAAUGUAUUAUUUUAGUAUUAACUUUAUCAGCUAUAGUGGAGAGAACAUUGUCUACAAUAAAGAUUAUCAAUUAUCAAUUGUGUGAUAGGAUGAGUGAUGAUUGACUCAAUGCUUCAUUAGUGCCUUCCAUUUAAAAAGAUGUAUUUGAUUUGAUUUUUAAUAAAAUUGUAAUGCAGUAUUUUUAAAAAAUGCAAAAUAAAUUAAUAAGCUUAUAAUAAUUUUUGAUUCAUCUAUAUUUUUUUAAAUUUUUGAUUCAUCUAUCAUAAUGAAAUAUAAGAUUUUGUUUUGAAUAAUCUCAUCAUUUUAUUUUUAAAAAUAUUUGUCCAUUUAUAUGAAUGUUUCUCUAUUUUCCCUAAAAUGAAAGUUUGGUUCCACCUUUGAGUAAGAAAGUCAUCUCAAAUGAAGCAUACCAAAUGAAGCAAAAGCCUGAUGUCCAUGAGUAGCAGUGGUGUGGGUCGCUCUCGUCUAGGUCAGCUAAGGAGAUUAGUGAAAAUUGUCAAGCGCGUCACAAAUUGACUUGCCAACGGCCCGAUACGCUAAAAAAAAAAAAAAAAAAAAAAAAAAAAA